GCGGGCGUGGCGGAAUUGGCAGACGCACCAGGUUUAGGUCCUGGCGAGGCAACUCGUGGGGGUUCAAGUCCCUUCGCCCGCACCA
rnacentral:tRNA from 1 species